GAUGAACGUUGGCGGUGUGCCUAAUACAUGCAAGUCGAACGAAGUUGAUAGCGAUAUUAGCUUAGUGGCGAACGGGUGAGUAACGCGUUGGUGAUCUGCCUUGAAGUGUGGAAUAACGUUUCGAAAGGAACGCUAAUACCACAUGUGCUCUCGAUUUUCAGAAAGUUGAGAGUAAAGGAUUUAUUCGCUUCAAGAGGAGCCUGCGUCCCAUCAGCUGGUUGGUAGGGUAACGGCCUACCAAGGCUAUGACGGGUAGGGGACCUGAGAGGGUGGCCCCCCACAAUGGAACUGAAACACGGUUCCAUACACCUACGGGUGGCAGCAGUAGGGAAUAUUAGAAAUGGACGAAAGUCUGAUCUAGCAACACCGCGUGUGCGAAGAAGGCCUUCGGGUCGUAAAGCACUUUUUGGAAGGAAUAGGAAGGAAUGUACUUCCAGAAUAAGUCUCGGCUAACUACGUGCCAGCAGCCGCGGUAAAACGUACGUG
rnacentral:rRNA from 1 species